rnacentral:rRNA from 1 species
UACGAAGGGUGCUAGCGUUAUUCGGAAUUACUGGGCGUAAAGGGCGCGCAGGCGGCCCUCCAAGUCAGGCGUGAAAGCCCCGGGCUCAACCCGGGAAUAGCGCUUGAGACUGGGGGGCUUGAGUUCGGGAGAGGAGAGUGGAAUUCCCAGUGUAGAGGUGAAAUUCGUAGAUAUUGGGAAGAACACCGGUGGCGAAGGCGGCUCUCUGGACCGACACUGACGCUGAGACGCGAAAGCGUGGGGAGCAAACAGG